AGAAAAUAUUUAAAUGAUAAUAAUGUAUUCAGUGCUGUACAAGAUGUAGUUUCACAGUCCUCACUCUGAGGAGGGUACACUUGACAAGACAGAUACAGGUAAAAAGAUACAUUCAUGUAGGAAAAUGAAAGGUUAUACAACUAGGAACAAACAAUGUUGGCCACAUUCAUAGGUUGUAGGAUUGUGUUCUGUAAAUGUGACUUACAUUCUUUGUUCUUAGAUGUAUAACUUGUGAUUCUGAAAAGGAUGUGGGGUCACAGUGAAUAAAUAGAGGUUUCUUACCCUGUGCAGUAACUGAAGUUCUGUGAGAUGUGUUCCUCUAUAGGUGCUCCACUCUUGAUUGGAGAUUUUCAUUAGCAGUGUCUGUUCGGCCCACGCACAUGCCGUUGGUAUCCUCAUGCCCUGCACCGAGGCUAUGUCAAAUUGCACAGGCAAACCACUCCCUCAGUUCCUUCUGCACGACUGAGUCUCAGAAGAAACUCCAAAGCAGAGGGGAAGGAGGGUGGGUAGUUGAGCACCCAUGGGGGAUACAUCUUGAAGAACUACAGUUACUGCACAGGUUGAGUAACCUCUCUUUCAUCUUUGAGUAGGGUCCCUAUGGGUGAUCCAUCCUUGGUGACUCCCAAGAAGUAUUCCCAGAAGGAGGAGUGGGGGCAUUCGGAAUGGAGUCCAUCACAGAGGCGAGAACUGCCUUGCCAAAUGUAGUGUCAGAUCUGGAGGCAUCAACCAGGACAUUGUGUCUAGAGAGAAGACAUGCACCAGAGACCAUGUAGCGGCUCUGCAGACCUCUGAAAUAGGAACAUUUUUAAGGAGAGCCAUAGAGGUAGAUUGUGAUCUAGUCAAGUGCACCGGUAGAGAUGGACUGUCGAUACUAUAGUAGCAUACUACAAUACACUUGGAAAUCCAUUUAGAAAGUCUCUGGGUAGAAAUGGCAGACCUGUCUGCAAUCAAAACAAAGAGUCCAGUGGAUUUACGAAAUGGUUUAGUUCUAUCCAGAAAGAAGGAUAAUGCCCUCCUGACAUCUAGAGUUGGAAGUAUGUGGUUUGGGAAAGAAAACUGGUAGGUAUAUGAUCUGUUUCAGAUGAAAUUCGGAAGUUACUUUAGGUAGAAACCUGAUCCUUGUAGAAUAUUGUGAAGCGGGGGAGGAGGUCUGCCAUUAAGGCCCCAAUCUCUCUGACUCCGCAGUGUGAGUUAAUAGUCACUAGGAAGGCUGUUUUACUAGAUAAAUCCAAUAAGGAGCAGGUGAACGUCAGUUCAACAAGAUUUUCUGAGGCUUUUGAGAAACAAGUUCAGGUCCCAGGCAGGGGUAGGAACCUUUAUCUCUGGGAAGACAUUCCCCAGACCUUUUAUAAAUCUUGCGUUUGUGAGGUGAGGAAACAGAGAAAAACCCUCAAUAGUAGUCUGAAAGGAUGUUAGGGCCACCAGACGAACCUUGAGGGAAUUAUGGGACAUCCUGAUUUCUUAAGAUAUAGCAGGUGCUUGAGGAUGAACGGAAGCGGGGCAGAUUCGGGAGCAGCAUUGUGGAGUUCACAUCAGUGGCCAAAUUUUUGUCUACUUUUGAAGGUAAGUAGUUCUGGUGGGAACUUUUCUACUAUUUAAUAGUAUGUGUUAUAUCUCACAGAGCAGAAUGACUCUAGCCCCAUGAACCAUCAAGGAACGACCUUUCAGGCAAAGAAUUCCCAAGUCGGGAUGCAUCAGAGGACCAGAGUGCUGGGAGAGGAAAUUAGCAGUUGGGAGAUUUAUCAGCUAGAGAGCAAGAUGAAACAGAGGGAAGGUGAUCUUGCCUCUUCGUGCCUCUUGAUAUAAAACAAGCAAGCCAUGUUGUCUGUCAUGACUUUGAUGGAUCUGUGUCUGAUGAGAGGAAGGAAAUGAAGACAGGAAUUUCCGACAGCUCUGAUCUCCAGACGGUUGAUAUAGAGGGUGGUCUCAGGCUGACCAUCUGCCCUGGAUUGUUAGAGAGCCAAGAUGCACCCCUCUGUUCUCUCUGAUCCAAACAGAAAUGUAUCCGUGGUUAUGGUUACUGUCGACACCCGUUAGAGGAAGGGGACCCCUGUCCCUACACUGUGAUGAAUCUUCCACCAAUCUAGGGAAUAUUUUACAUGCUGGGGGACCAACACCUACUUGCCUAGACUCUGUCUGUUUGGUGAAUAAACUGUUCUGAGACACCCCUGGAAAAAGCAGAGGCGUAACCUCACAUGCUGUAUCAUGAAGGUGACCCAGAAGUUGAAGGUCUGGGGGCUAUCCCGAGUCAUUUUGACAAGGCUUGAUAAAGUCCGGAAUCUCUCCAAGGGAAGAGAUGCCAUGGAUGUUAGGGAAUCCAAGGGCACCCCUAUGAAUUGUAUGUCCUGAACGGGAUUUAGUGUUAAUUUUUCCAUGUUCAGCUGAAGGCACAGGUCCAAAAAGAGAGUGAACACUGUCCUUGGGGCAGAAAACACUUCUUGGUAGGAUCAACCCCGAGUAGCCAAUAGUUGAAGUAUGGGAAUACCAUGAUAGCCUGAUGACGUAGAUACUGACACUACUGACAAAACCUUUGAGAACAUUCUCGGAGCCGAGGAGAGGCUGAAGGGGAACACGCAAUACUGAAAACCCGAACCAC